rnacentral:rRNA from 1 species
AUGGCGCUGUGGACUGGGCUAGGGCAAGCGGCGACAGUGGCGCAGCUGGUCGGAGCAGACGUCGGCGGGCUCGUCUCCAUGAUCUUGCAGUCUGCGCUUACGGCUCGGCAAAAUAAGAGUGAGUGCGAGCAGCUCGCGCGUCGGGUCCUCAUGAUCGCGCAGCUGUUGCCGCAUGUGCAGGAGCCAGAGGCGGCGGAGCCGCUGGCCGGGCUGGGGGAUACACUCCGGGACGCCCAUGAGCUCGUUUUGUCCUGCCAGGGAAGGAGCGCGGCGUACCAGUUUGUCAUGGCCGGCAGGACGGCCGAAAGAUUCAGGGAGGUCCAGAGCAAGAUCGACUCCUACCUCAUCGUGUUUCCCGUGAUCAGCCACAUCGGCAUCACGCGCCGCCUCGAACGGAUCUACAAUGUCCUUGUCCCAAAUGACUCCACCAGUGUUGAACCGUCUCCGCUUCCACAUCGGCAGGGGUCUACAGAGGUGGCACAAGAGGUACCGCUGCAUGAAACCCAGGAAUUCACGUUGGUGGAGAUCAUGGCUGCCACCAAUAACUUCGCCCUUGAUAAUAAGAUUGGUUGCGGCGGCUUUGCUACGGUGUACACGGGCAGGCUUUCGGAUGGGCGAGAGGUGGCCAUCAAGCACAUCAUCUAUAACCAUCGGCGCGCUGUAGAAGAUUACCACACAGAGCUCAACAUCCUAUCACGGCUCCAAUACAAACACAUUGUCCGCCUCCUUGGAUCGUGUGUUACUGUGAGUAUGGACAAGCACCUGCUAACCACCCCGCAAAAGAAGAAAAAGGGCCUGCUAACUAGGUGGAGAAAGGAGCCGGAAGUGCUGGAGAGGUUUAUUGUCUACGAGUACAUGGAGAAUGGCACGCUCUACGACCACCUGCACGGUGAUCAGGCCGGCACCUCUUCGCUGUCGCCGGUGACAAUGUCCUGGAAGAUGCGGGCCGAUGUGCUACUCUGCGUAUCACGCGCCAUUGAACACCUACACUGUCAUGCCAACCCAUCGAUCAUCCACCGGGACAUCAAGUCAACUAACAUCAUGUUCGAUGCUAGUUGGGUGCCACGUGUGACAGACUUUGGCGCGUCUAUCGUCUGGGACAUGGCGAGUGAGGAGGAAGGAAUGACUCUAAGCGUUGCAGGCACACUUGGGUACGUCGCCCCUGAGUACGCCAUGCAUUGUCUUCUGAAGCCGGCGUGCGAUGUGUACAGCCUGGGAGUGGUGAUGCUGGAGGUUCUAACAGGAAAAGAGGCAUUAUCACAAGGGGAUUAUAGGAUGAGAGCAGGAUUGGCAUCCUUCGCAGUGCCAAUAAUCGAGGCAGGUAAAUUUGAGGAGUUGCUAGACAGGCGUCCGGUGCCGGAGCCAACGGCAGGGCAGCUCAAGGCGCUGGAGCAGGUAGCACAUACUGCACGAUGUUGUGUGAAGUUGGACGGGAAGGACCGACCAGCCAUGUCAGACAUCGUGGCAAACCUCGAGAUGGCGUACGAGUUGAUCUGCAGAGACGAGCCAGGUUCAGUUGACGAGUUACCAAACUCACCACGUGUCAGCGGCAUCUCGUCGGCAAGCUAA